CCACGGGACGCGGCGAGUGUUUCACCAUAGCAUGGAAGGAUUGAGAGCCACUUUCUGGGCACCUGCGGACGGACGCCGCAUAAGCUGUGGUCGCAACUGGUACUCUGCGGCAUAUUCAAUCAUGUCAAGUGUAAUAAUUUUGCGAAUUCCACGUACAAACAUGCAAACACACACUGGCAUACAUAUGUAUGUAUGUAUGUGACGUGGUUUGAGGGGACUGGAGGAGACGCUGGCACCAAGUGGAACUACGCUUUGGAUUUGACUGAAAACUGCCAGGAAAAGGAUUAUUUAACACUGCGUACAACCGCGGCUGUAUUUACCAAGAGCUUAACUUUAUGUGCCGGGGUCAGUCACCGAGAUUUUCAGAUUUCUCCCCUUUUUUGGGGCAGCCGACAAUCGACAACCGACAGCCGCAUAGCUGAUAAGCCUUAAGCUGCUUAAUCGAUGACCAGAGAGUUGUCAAAAAAUAAUUCACAGGCCCGGGACGAGCACUCGGAUGCGGCUGAAAGAUCUACCCUUUGGUGCUUUAAAUGGUCCUCAACGUUGCAGGAGGGACGGCAUUGAAGAGAGUGGAAGACGGAACCCCCAUUGGCCGCGCCAAAUCAGAGUCUCCUUGUCGGCGGGGCCCUUACAUGAGAAAUAUUUUAGCGUACAAUGCAGAAAUGGUAGCAACUUCGCAGCGUUUCCUUAUCAGUCGCAGCUCCGCUGACGUAUGCACCCCAAAAAAAGGAGGAACAAAGCAGAAGGAGGACCAGAAACAGAAACAGAAACCGCGCUUGCAGAUAAUGCCACAAUGAAGACAGCAUAACGCGCCGCUGUUGAAAAAUCGCUGCAUUCUGGCAGGGCCAGCAUCAGAUGGCGAAGAGGAUGCGUCCACAUCAAGAUAAAUGAGCGUGCGUCUUCUUUUUGUGUUGCUCCUGCUGCUGCUGUUGACGUGGGGCCUGCAACCUGCCCCUGCCACUAUAAGCCGGGAAUCAAAGUUAUAAUAAUGCAUAAGUAAUUUGCAGCAGUAGCAAUCGGAAAGACCCAUCAGAGAGCUCGUGCCACGGCUGCUUUCCGCCUUGACGACAGUUAAUCAAAACCGGCACACAACAUGGUCAGAGUCGUCUGCCUCCCCCUGAAGCCAUCUGCCUCUUUUGGAUAGUUAUUUAUUAACUGCGCAGCACUUUAUCCGCACAUCGUUAAAGGAGAAACCAAAUAUUUGCGAAUAUGUACUUCAAAAAGCGAACGAAAACUGGAGCAAGCGAUACUGUUGAGUUAGCUGUUGUGCAGCCAACGCAUUGCCAGUGGCACACUUGUGCAACAUCGCAGCAUUAACUUGCCGCUCAAGUUCAGGCAAAGAAGGGGGAAGCAGCACAAUGGCCAUUGCCAUUGGCAUUGGCAGACCCAAAUCCAGUGCCCAGCAUAGGGCCAGAGCCAAACAAUGCCGCGGCUUGUAAAGACAAGGGAAACCCAAACAGUGGAGGACCCGAGGCAGCGGCCACUGAACUGAACUAGAUUUCUGCUCAUUGCUAACAAAAAAAGAGGAAAAAAAAGCAAACAAAGAGGACUAGAAAAAAUGAAAUCAGGAAGUGUAUUAUAUAAUUUUAUAGAUACUAAACUCAACUUUGACACAAAUCGGCUGAGUGCGGUCUGUAAACAUGACAUUUGCUGUACACGAAUCCGGCAGCAGGGAGCCCGGGCCAAGCUGGGCUGAGAGAAGAUUGGGGAUGCUGCCGCA